CGUUGAUAGGUUGGGUGUGUAAGCGCUGUGAGGCGUUGAGCUAACCAAUACUAAUUGCCCGUGUGGCUUGACCAUA
rnacentral:rRNA from 1 species